AAAACGACUCUCGGCAACGGAUAUCUCGGCUCUCGCAUCGAUGAAGAACGUAGCGAAAUGCGAUACUUGGUGUGAAUUGCAGAAUCCCGUUAACCAUCGAGUCUUUGAACGCAAGUUGCGCCCCAAGCCGUUAGGCCGAGGGCACGCCUGCCUGGGUGUCACGC
rnacentral:rRNA from 1 species